UGCAGGACCUUGACGUCACCAUCGGAUCUCAGCUGAAUUCAGCGACAAAACGUAGCAAAGCAUAUUUUUAAACGGAAACGGUGGUGCUUUGAACACACAGUUGACACGCCCACCAAAUGGGGAAGCCCAUUGCACAAUGUUGAUUGAAAAACUGUUAAUUAAUAACUAAUUUACAAAGUUGGAGAGAAACCAGCCUUCUUUGCAGCGCUGUGAAAGUGUGUGGAGUCAGUUUGCCGCAUUCCUGUUAUGCUAACGUGAGCUAAUGUUAGCAACCGUUAGCUAACGUCAGCUAAAGUAAGGUAUCACCAGUGACUGAAACCUUUCAAGACAGUCGUCAACACUUAUGAUUUUUCAUCUGGGGCUGCUCCUUGUUACAUGCGCUUUGGUCCGGACUAAACAGAGUGCUGCUGAAGGAAUUUCACCUUGCCCAUAAUCACGACUUGCAAAAUCAGCUCUGAUAUUGGAUCAAAUAGAGUAUUGAGUGGCACUACAGCUAUCCAAGAGGCCAACUCCAUCCAUGAUUGGUUGCCAUACGGUCUACUGACAGUUGCAGAGACACAAACAGAGAGAGAUGUGUUAUAGGCCUUCUCCACAAGCAGCGGUGGGUGAAGAAGUUCAAAACGAAAAACACGAGGUACACGAGAUGCCAUCCGACUCUCCGUGGCCUCCCACUGAACCUGGUAGCGGAUGACUGACGUCUUCAAAACCUGCAAUGUUCAGCGACCUGUUCGCCCUGGCGGAGGAGUACAAGGACUCCCAGACCAAGCCUCCCAAGUCCCGCCGUAAGGCUUCAGCCUCCUCGCCUCGCUUCCGCCCACCAACAACGAGGAGGAGAGCGCCUCCAGCAGCGCCUCAGUACGUAGCCCCACCUCCACCUGCUCCUCUGUGUGAGGACAACCUAAAUCUACGUCUUGUUCUUUGAUUGGUCCGUUUCAAAACCACACGGAUUUUUGAAAUUUAAUGUGUCUGAUUUGGGAAACCAGGAAGCAACUUUGUGUCUUCACCAAGCAGGAACAUCAGGUUUGAAAAGUGAAGCCUCAAACCUGCAUACACUGCAACAGCCAGCACUGGGGCGACUCCACUGGAUCGUAUAUGGUCUCUGUCGCUAGUUUCAAGGGUUCUUGCAUCAUGAUGAUCAUUUAGAAAAUUAUGGUCCCAUUUAGAGGAAAAUAGACCAGAAAGCUUUAUGGCUGGGCUACCUUGUGAUUGACAAGUCGCUAUGUGUGUUUGUGUUCUAGGUCUUAAAUAAUUUUAAUCGGGUAUUUAUUUUCCAACGUCCAUGUAACUCUACCUCUAAUGCUCAUUGAAAUGGCCCUGCUGGGCUCAAGAAUAUUUUUUUGUUUGUUUUUUUUCCUCCUGUGGUGUUGUAGUUCUUUCUGUCGCUAGUCCAAAUCAGUCAGUAUUCUUCGCAGUAUUACGACUACAAAGACAGACAGGCAGCUUUCGUGUUAUGGCCGCAAGUCUCUUUGGGAUUGUACCACGGAUAUAAAACGCAUUUAUUCUUCAGUUAUGGGGAAGUGCAGCCAUAUCGGUUCUUGGAUGGAAAAACAGAUCUUAGGGCUUAAAACCAGUCAGUAUUUGAAGCCUACUGUCGCUGCUUAAUGAAUGAGCGCCACUAUUAAAAUUUCACACAAUCGUUAAUGAUUUUCAGUAAACAGUAACACUCAACGCAUAACAUUAGUCCUUUUAAGCUAAUGAGAAGAUUAUUCUUUUGGAUGUUGAUGUACAAAUGAAAUGCUUGUAAUAACAGAAGGGAGGUGGUUCUCAUGUUGCCUAUUUAUGUUAAUUUCUACAAAUGUAUAAAGCAGUAAAUUUAGACACAAAAGGCAAACAUGAAUAAUCCUAUUUGUAAUGAUUCUGAGGUCAUGUGUUUUCCUGCUAUUAUAAGGUGGUGAGGCUCAAAACAGCUUGGUGCUGCACAAUAAAUGUAAAAUCAUUGUGGAGAGCAUCAAAACUAACCAAAUGAAUUUUCCCAGAUCUAAUGGUUAUAAUUCAACCCCAGUAGACGUAUUUAGCAAGUUUAGCUUUUGGGGUGUAGUUUAUUAUUGUCUCCCUGUCUGCUCCCCUGAGUUUAUCCAUCAGCAGUAGGUUAAGUUUUAUAAAGUCACCAAAAAGACACAGAACUCUUUUGUUUGUCUUUUUUUUCCCUGGAUUUUUCUACAGUGAUCCCUUUUUUUCACGUCAGCAGCUCUACCACAUGCCAGCUUGUUAAUUACGUAGCUUAUCAAUGUCAUCGUUCAUCCCGGUGUUUCAUUGUUGACAUUGUCCAAUGCCAAUUUUGUGGAUAUCACUCAACCCUAAUUUGUAUACAUUGAUUUAUUCUGCCAGUAA